GUGUCAGCAGCCGCGGUAAUACGUAGGGUCCGAGCGUUAAUCGGAAUUACUGGGCGUAAAGCGUGCGCAGGUGGUUUUGUAAGCCAGAUGUGAAAUCCCCGGGCUUAACCUGGGAACUGCAUUUGGGACUGCAAGGCUAGAGUACGGCAGAGGGAGGUGGAAUUCCAGGUGUAGCAGUGAAAUGCGUAGAGAUCUGGAGGAACACCGAUGGCGAAGGCAGCCUCCUGGGCUAGUACUGACGCUCAUGCACGAAAGCGUGGGGAGCAAACAGGAUUAGAAACCCGCGUAGUCC
rnacentral:rRNA from 1 species